AUGGGCCGCCUCAACCCGCCGCUGCACGCCGUCAUCAAGGUCAACCCUGACGUGCUCCAGCAGGCCAAGCGAACCGACGCGGAGCAUCGCUCCUCCGGCCAUGCCACCGCCUCGCUGCACGGCGUCCCCGUCCUGCUCAAGGACAACAUCAUGACACGCGACGUGCUCAACACGACGGCCGGCUCCUUGGCCCUCCUCGGCUCCGUGGUGAGGCGCGACGCCGGCGUGGCGGCCCGGCUCCGGCAAGCCGGCGCCGUGGUGCUCGGUAAGGCCAGCCUGUCCGAGUGGGCUAACUUUCGCCCAGUCUACAACGGGUGGAGCGCGUGA
rnacentral:rRNA from 1 species